CGGACGGGUGAGUAACGCGUGAGAAUCUGCCUUCUGGUCGGGGACAACCAUUGGAAACGAUGGCUAAUACCGGAUGAGCCUACGGGUAAAAGAUUUAUUGCCAGAAGAGGAGCUCGCGUCUGAUUAGCUAGUUGGUGGGGUAAAAGCUCACCAAGGCAUCGAUCAGUAGCUGGUCUGAGAGGAUGAUCAGCCACACUGGGACUGAGACACGGCCCAG
rnacentral:rRNA from 1 species